rnacentral:sRNA from 1 species
UUGAGUGGGAAUAAUAAGUUAACUUGAUUUGGUGAGAGAACACCUAUUUAACAGCAUUUAAAUUGAUUUAAAACGGAUAAAAAGAUAUAAAAAGAUAUGGUUCCCUACCAAAAACCCUACCAAUUAAAUUUUCUGGUAGGGUUUUUU